rnacentral:lncRNA from 1 species
CCUCGGAGAAGGCCUAGGUGGAGGCUCCUUGGCCUCUUGAGUCCAGACUGUUCUAGACAAUCCCGUUGGGAAUCCAGGUGAAAGGCGGUGGUGGGCGAGAAAAACUCAGUAUGGCCUCCAUCGGAUCUCCGUUAAGCUCCCUGGAUAUUGUGGAGACAGUAGGCCUACAGGUGAACAAGUGCUCAGAGGAGUAGCCCCACUCUGGUCUGGAAGAUUAACUUCAUAUCCUCCUGUCUCAGCCUCGCAAAGUGCUAGGGUUACAGGUCUGCACCACCAUACCUCCAGGUGACGGGACCGGAGUUCCCAAAGGGCAGGACUCAACUUUGCCCAUGCGCUCAUCCUCAUCAGCAGACACAGUCACAGCACUGGCUCGUUCUUCCCACCCUCCUCCCUCCCAUAGCCCGGUCCGCAAGGGCUCA